UCGGGAAUAUUGCACAAUGGGCGAAAGCCUGAUGCAGCGACGCCGCGUGAGCGAAGAAGGCCUUCGGGUCGUAAAGCUCUGUCCUAUGGGACGAUAAUGACGGUACCAUAGGCGGAAGCCCCGGCUAACUACGUGCCAGCAGCCGCGGUAAUACGUAGGGGGCGAGCGUUGUCCGGAAUGACUGGGCGUAAAGGGUACGUAGGCGGCCAGGUAAGUCAGGUGUGAAAGUCUAGGGCUCAACCCUAGUGAGCACUUGAAACUGCUUGGCUUGAGUCGAGGAGAGGAAGGUGGAAUUCCUGGUGUAGCGGUGAAAUGCGUAGAUAUCAGGAGGAACACCAGUGGCGAAGGCGGCUGCCUGGGGAGUCACUGACGCUGAGGCGCGAAAGCUAGGGGAGCAAACAGG
rnacentral:rRNA from 1 species